GAUGAACGCUGGCGGCGUGCCUAAUACAUGCAAGUCGAGCGAACGGACGAGAAGCUUGCUUCUCUGAUGUUAGCGGCGGACGGGUGAGUAACACGUGGAUAACCUACCUAUAAGACUGGGAUAACUUCGGGAAACCGGAGCUAAUACCGGAUAAUAUUUUGAACCGCAUGGUUCAAAAGUGAAAGACGGUCUUGCUGUCACUUAUAGAUGGAUCCGCGCUGCAUUAGCUAGUUGGUAAGGUAACGGCUUACCAAGGCAACGAUGCAUAGCCGACCUGAGAGGGUGAUCGGCCACACUGGAACUGAGACACGGUCCAGACUCCUACGGGAGGCAGCAGUAGGGAAUCGUCCGCAAUGGGCGAAAGCCUGACGGAGCAACGCCGCGUGAGUGAUGAAGGUCUUCGGAUCGUAAAACUCUGUUAUUAGGGAAGAACAUAUGUGUAAGUAACUGUGCACAGCUUGACGGUACCUAAUCAGAAAGCCACGGCUAACUACGUG
rnacentral:rRNA from 1 species